AUUGAACGCUGGCGGCAGGCUUAACACAUGCAAGUCGAGCGGGGGAAGGUAGCUUGCUACCGGACCUAGCGGCGGACGGGUGAGUAAUGCUUAGGAAUCUGCCUAUUAGUGGGGGACAACAUCUCGAAAGGGAUGCUAAUACCGCAUACGUCCUACGGGAGAAAGCAGGGGGUCUUCGGACCUUGCGCUAAUAGAUGAGCCUAAGUCGGAUUAGCUAGUUGGUGGGGUAAAGGCCUACCAAGGCGACGAUCCGUAGCGGGUCUGAGAGGAUGAUCCGCCACACUGGGACUGAGACACGGCCCAGACUCCUACGGGAGGCAGCAGUGGGGAAUAUUGGACAAUGGGGGGAACCCUGAUCCAGCCAUGCCGCGUGUGUGAAGAAGGCCUUAUGGUUGUAAAGCACUUUAAGCGAGGAGGAGGCUCUUUUGGUUAAUACCCAAGAUGAGUGGACGUUACUCGCAGAAUAAGCACCGUCUAACUCUGUGCCAGCCGCCGCAGUAA
rnacentral:rRNA from 1 species